rnacentral:snRNA from 11 species
CUUCUUUCCAGGAAAUGGAAAGCCAAGGGUGAGGCUUAUUCAUUGCACUCCGGAUAUGCUGACCCCUGAGAUUUUCCCAAAUGUGGGAAACCUGACUGCAUAAUUUUGCAUAAUUUGUGAUAGUGUGGGACUGCAUUCACACCUUCCCUUG